UACAGAGGGUGCGAGCGUUAAUCGGAAUUACUGGGCGUAAAGCGUGCGUAGGCGGUCAUGUAAGUCGGGUGUGAAAGCCCCGGGCUCAACCUGGGAAUUGCAUUCGAGACUGCAUGGCUAGGGUGCGGAAGAGGGAAGCGGAAUUUCCGGUGUAGCGGUGAAAUGCGUAGAUAUCGGAAGGAACACCAGUGGCGAAAGCGGCUUCCUGGUCCAGCACUGACGUUCAGGCACGAAAGCGUGGGGAGCAAACAGG
rnacentral:rRNA from 1 species